GACGAACGCUGGCGGCGUGCUUAACACAUGCAAGUCGAACGGGCCCGCCCCUGUUUUUGGGGGUGGGUUGAGUGGCGAACGGGUGAGUAUCACGUGAGUAACCUGCCCCCUGCUCCUGGAUAACUGCUUGAAAGGGCGGCUAAUACGGGGUGUGCCGGCUGGUCCGCAUGGGCCUGGUCGGGAUAGUUUCAUCUUCGGGUGUUUCGGUGGGGGAUGGGCUCGCGGCCUAUCAGCUUGUUGGUGGGGUGAUGGCCCACCAAGGCGGUGACGGGUAGCCGGCCUGAGAGGGUGGGCGGCCACACGGGGACUGAGACACGGCCCAGACUCCGGCGGGAGGCAGCAGUGGGGGGUAUUGCACAAUGGGCGGAAGCCUGAUGCAGCGACGUCGCGUGAGGGAUGGAGGCCUUCGGGUUGUGAACCUCUUUCUCCGGUGGUGAAGGCCCUGUCCGUUGCGGCGGGGUUGACGGUAGCCGGGUAUGAAGCGCCGGCUAACUACGUG
rnacentral:rRNA from 1 species